UCUAAUGGCAGUCCAAGAUGGCGAAAGGGACUCGCCGCUGUGUAAAUUGCAGCGGGAAGAUAUCGUAGACGAUGACGUCGUCGGGGUGUCUUCAACGGGCUUCCCGCUUUAAUGUCCCUCACGGGCUCCGUGAUCAAUAACAAUACGUCAAAGUCGAACCUGAGAACGCCGUCGUAAUUCUUGGGUCAAGGAGUAACAUUCUAAAAUUAUAAAUGUUCUAAAAUGAAACUUCGAGGUACAUACGUAGAUACAGCAACACUACACAAUUAUAGACACCAAAGUAACUUGUACGUUCUUAACGAUAUUUAAAUAAAAACUUAACAAGAUA